CGUGGGUAACCUGCCCAAGAGAUCGGGAUAACACCUGGAAACAGAUGCUAAUACCGGAUAACAACAGAUGAUGCCUAUCAACUGUUUAAAAGAUGGUUCUACUAUCACUCUUGGAUGGACCUGCGGUGCAUUAGCUAGUUGGUAGGGUAACGGCCUACCAAGGCGAUGAUGCAUAGCCGAGUUGAGAGACUGAUCGGCCACAUUGGGACUGAGACACGGCCCAAACUCCUACGGGAGGCAGCAGGC
rnacentral:rRNA from 1 species